AGCUUGCUGCUUCGCUGACGAGUGGCGGACGGGUGAGUAAUGUCUGGGAAACUGCCUGAUGGAGGGGGAUAACUACUGGAAACGGUGGCUAAUACCGCAUAACGUCGCAAGACCAAAGAGGGGGACCUUCGGGCCUCUUGCCAUCAGAUGUGCCCAGAUGGGAUUAGCUUGUUGGUGAGGUAACGGCUCACCAAGGCGACGAUCCCUAGCUGGUCUGAGAGGAUGACCAGCCACACUGGAACUGAGACACGGUCCAGACUCCUACGGGAGGCAGCAGUGGGGAAUAUUGCACAAUGGGCGCAAGCCUGAUGCAGCCAUGCCGCGUGUAUGAAGAAGGCCUUCGGGUUGUAAAGUACUUUCAGCGGGGAGGAAGGUGUUGUGGUUAAUAACCGCAGCAAUUGACGUUACCCGCAGAAGAAGCACCGGCUAACUCCGUGCCAGCAGCCGCGGUAAUACGGAGGGUGCAAGCGUUAAUCGGAAUUACUGGGCGUAAAGCGCACGCAGGCGGUCUGUCAAGUCGGAUGUGAAAUCCCCGGGCUCAACCUGGGAACUGCAUUCGAAACUGGCAGGCUUGAGUCUUGUAGAGGGGGGUAGAAUUCCAGGUGUAGCGGUGAAAUGCGUAGAGAUCUGGAGGAAUACCGGUGGCGAAGGCGGCCCCCUGGACAAAGACUGACGCUCAGGUGCGAAAGCGUGGGGAGCAAACAGGAUUAGAUACCCUGGUAGUCCACGCCGUAAACGAUGUCUACUUGGAGGUUGUGCCCUUGAGGCGUGGCUUCCGGAGCUAACGCGUUAAGUAGACCGCCUGGGGAGUACGGCCGCAAGGUUAAAACUCAAAUGAAUUGACGGGGGCCCGCACAAGCGGUGGAGCAUGUGGUUUAAUUCGAUGCAACGCGAAGAACCUUACCUGGUCUUGACAUCCACAGAAGAAUCCAGAGAUGGAUUUGUGCCUUCGGGAACUGUGAGACAGGUGCUGCAUGGCUGUCGUCAGCUCGUGUUGUGAAAUGUUGGGUUAAGUCCCGCAACGAGCGCAACCCUUAUCCUUU
rnacentral:rRNA from 1 species